AUUUAGACUGGGUCAGAAUUUCAGGUCUAUUUUCUAUGUCUAAGUCUAGUGUUGUUAUUGGAAGGGGCGUUGCUAUCCGCUGCCAACAAAGCCUAUUUAUUUGUAAAGGUUUUGUAGACUAAAUGUCCUCAGCUUGUACAGACCGGUUCUUUUGGCUUUGAGUAUCUGAAUCUUCCUCUAUAUAUUGACACAUCUUUGGGAAGUUUGAGGUGUUUCA
rnacentral:misc_RNA from 1 species